UGGGGAAUAUUGCACAAUGGGCGCAAGCCUGAUGCAGCCAUGCCGCGUGUAUGAAGAAGGCCUUCGGGUUGUAAAGUACUUUCAGCGAGGAGGAAGGCGGUAAGGUUAAUAACCUUAUCGAUUGACGUUACUCGCAGAAGAAGCACCGGCUAACUCCGUGCCAGCAGCCGCGGUAAUACGGAGGGUGCAAGCGUUAAUCGGAAUUACUGGGCGUAAAGCGCACGCAGGCGGUCUGUCAAGUCGGAUGUGAAAUCCCCGGGCUCAACCUGGGAACUGCAUUCGAAACUGGCAGGCUAGAGUCUUGUAGAGGGGGGUAGAAUUCCAGGUGUAGCGGUGAGAUGCGUAGAGAUCUGGAGGAAUACCGGUGGCGAAGGCGGCCCCCUGGACAAAGACUGACGCUCAGGUGCGAAAGCGUGGGGAGCAAACA
rnacentral:rRNA from 1 species